UGCCAGCAAGAGCCUUCCUGUCCUUAGCACACAGGAUUUCUGGGAUCCAAGGGUGUGACUGGAGAUGAGCUAUGAGCUGUGGGAUGGAUGUGCUAACAACCUUUGGCAGGAAGGAAAGGACUGGACCAGCAGUUCAUCCCGGCCGGAGACAUUCCAAGGCCGAGGAAUUGCCACGCCACGGAGUGGCUGUGAAGUGAGAGUCGGACCCAGUGGCAGAAACCAGGGUGAAACAUCUCACAAAGGCCAACUAUCGCCCAGCUUUCCCAAGCAGACAUUAUUCCAUGCCACAGCAUCGAAUACAAUUGGAGCCCAACUUGGAUUUGAAGUGGAAUCCCAGAGUUCUGGAAAGAGCCGUGGACAGACAUGGAUGUGGUUUGUCUGUGUUGUGGUGGCAGAGAUUUCCUGGCUUUGCAGGAGCCCUGUGGGGUUCCCAGCAUGGGCAGAGGGGUCAGCCAGGCUCUCCCAGCCGUGCCCACACCGCUCCCGGAGGAACGCGGGGGUGGUUCCACACCACAGAGCUCCAGUGAGAGAAGCCACAACCAACACGGACUCAAACCACCAGGGCAGCUAUGGAGUGGUUUAUGAACACCCAAAUUGGACAUCUGUUGGAACCCUGGUUACUGAGAAUUUUAGACUUUCUGUGCUGAGAGGCACUGACCCCCAAGAGAACACUGCACUUGACCUGAGGCUGUGGAGAUGGCUUCCAAAAUGGAAUGGUGGAACUGGGAUUG